rnacentral:lncRNA from 1 species
UCUUGUCUACUUCCUCUUCCACCACGGCGGCGGCGACGCUCUUCGGUUGUUGUUGUUGUUUCUUCCUCCUCUUGUCCUUCAUCUCCUCGUGUAUGUCUUCGCCGUGUUGUUCUCUUCCAUUCACUACCUCCUCUUCCUCUUCCUCUCUCUUCCUCCACCUCCUCUUCUUCAUGUCCUCCUCGGUGUCUUCUUGACUCGCGAGGUUCAUCUUCUUCUUCUUUCUCUUCUUCUUCUCUUUCCUCCCUUCGUUCACGUCGUCUUCUCUGGCGUGGUUCUUCUUUUUCUUCCUCUUCCUCCUCUUGUUCUUGCCACUUGGGGCUGAUAACUCCCAAACCUUCCUCCACUCUUAUGAUUUGUUUGAUUCGUUCAUUCGGAUUUUGAAGUUUGUGUACUGUAUCCUCGUCUAUGUUGAGAGCUUGAGAUAAAAACUGUGGGUCAAAUCCACUCAGUAUGUUGUUUUUUCCUUCUUGUUCCUCUUCUUUCUGGUGUUGUCCAUGCCUGCGUCCACUAGGUCUUUGAUGCUGCUGUCGCUGCUGCCUUUGUUGCUGGGUCUCUGGAUACUCUUCUUCUGGGUUACCAGCUAGAUAGAAUCUCUGCAAAGCCAAGUAAAUAUAAACUAAGUAACCAACUAAUCAAAAUAUAUAAACUACAUGUAUAUAAGAAGUUAGAGGUUAAUUUAUAUAAAGUAAUGAUGUUGAAAUCUGGUGUCACAUAUUUUAUUGACAUAAUUUUGGAUAAAAGAUCCAUGAUCAUGUUAUGUUUACAACUUCAUCACAAUAAAACACUGAUAUCACAAUAUUUAGUUGUGAAGUAUACUUACUCUUGGGUUUGGAUCAAGCUGGUUUGACAAGCUGGUAGUGUCAAGAAGAUUGAUAGCAACAAGUUGUUCAUCACCGUAGUUAUAAGUCCAGUAAGGGGUUCCAGGUGGAAUUACUAAGAUAUCACCUUCUCUGAAGU